CCCGCGGUCAGCUCGUCGUCUACGGCCCAUCGUUGUGGAACACGCCGAAAGCAGGAGUCCUCGCCGCCGGCGUCGAGACGUGGGGCUCGGCUGGGAACACGACAAGCACCGCUCUGACAGACGAGUGAAGUCUCUCAUCCAUGUCGCUAUAAGAAAAAUGUAAAACACGUGUCAGUCUUAUCCUCUAGUGGUGACGGAAAUUUCAUUUCCUCAUAAUAAAUGCUUAUAGCGACGGAAGACCAGCAAUCUACCAAAUAAAAUACUAAUGAUGGGAUAAAAAUAGAACUUAUAUACAAAUAAAGACAAAUCAUAAUAAAAUAAAAUAUUAAAAUUUACGUAAAAAAAAUUCUUUUAAUAUGAAAAAUAAAAAUUACAGAAUAAAUCAGAAAAAAAUUACUAUAAAAAUAAUGAAUGUACAAAUCAUAAUCUUUUUAAAGAUAAAUGAAAGUUGUUUCUAUUUGAACAAUAUAGAAAACGGUAAUUUCUCGGAUCAAAUAUUUCUUGCUUAAUCGUAGACGAAUACUUGCAUGUAUCCAAUAAUUAGGAAAGAGCUAAAAGUAGGCUACAAGUUUUGCAACCAAGGGCAAAACAGGAGCCGGGUGUGACACUUCAAUGUGAAAUCACAAGAUAGAAAGAAAUGAUCAUCAAUGUUGUCACAGAGUCAAAACCCAAAGCACAGGAAUGUGUUAUCAAAAGGUCAGAAAAGCCGAAUUGUAAAGAAAAUAAACAAAUAGAAGAGAGAGAGACAGAGAGAGAAGAUGAGGAGCAAAAAGGGAAAAUGAAGAGCUAAUAGUUGCUGCAAGUUGAAGUUUCGUCGACCAACUUGGAAUUCAGUGAUAGUUUGAGAAUCAAAUAUAGAAUUAACCAUCACUCAUUAAAAACUGCAACUCAUGCCAAAACUAGAGAAUGCUACAUCACUUACAAUGGGUCCUAGAAGCAAAAUAAGAGAAACCAACUCUUUUUUUGUUUUUUGUUUUAAUGGAUGGGUAGAUGGAGCAACACCUGCAUCGGCAGAGGAAAAGUGAAAGAGAAAAUAAAAGAAAUCAAGUGAAAAUUAUGGGAAGUUGACACUAUAUAUUUUGGAUGAUGUAGGAAAGUGACUUCAUUCUCCUACUAUUCUGUCUUUGGCUGCCAAUAUAUUUCUUAUGCCUCCAGAGUUUUAUUGUGCUGUUGUUGACAUUUUUUGAUUGAUUGUAACAUCAUAUCUGAAAACCAUGAACUUUCAAGAGAUCCCACAAGAAUGUAUCCACCCAUUGCCCAAGUAAAGAAUAAGAUUAUCUGUUUGUCUGUCGCAUGCUCCUUUGGGCACACAAAAUCUCAGUAAAACAAACAUGUUUUGAAAUACCCACUUUCAAUUUUCUGAUUCUUAUCAAUCACCCACAAACCAAAACCAUUCCUACUUGUCUGCUUCUAGCAAGGUUGUGACUUGUUUACAUUUUCCUGAGCAAAUGUAAAUAAAUAUGCCACUAUUAGACAUGGAUGAAAUUCUAGAUCCUUCAUGCCACUCUCUUUUGACUUUGAAACCUAAAUGAUACAAGUACUUGUUCAUCUGACCCACCUAUCGAACAUAGCUCAAAAUUCACCCAAACACUCUAGUACUGUAUUUCACACUGCAUUGCAUUUAUAUCCUGAGCUUCAGACUACCAAUAUCUUUAGACCCUUCAUGAUUGAUAAUAGAAACAUCUUGCACAAAUUACACCAAAAUCUACAAAAUUUCUGUAUUUUUCAUAUCAUGAAUUUUGAAGUAAAAGAUAUGACAUACUAUUGUCUUACCCUUUGAACAUGCUGUAGAAAUUGUGUGGAUUGACAUAGAUUUUUGUGAUGUCAAUGGUCAUACUUUGUUGUUCACAAAGCACCUACAAUGUUUCUGAAUAAAAUAGGAAGAAAGAUCUCAAUGUUAUGAAUGCAAUACAGUGGCUAAAGCCUAAAGGCAUCUCAUUUUUCAUUCUUAGGAGACCAGAAACAUAUUUUCACAACAAGUCGAGCAAUACAUGAAAGCAUUGAGUUUGUGUCUGUGUUUGCUUAGGACAACCUCAGAGGCAAGAGUGCUAUUCUUAGGGGACCAGAAACAUUUUUAACAACAAGUUGAGCAAUACAUGAAAGCAUUGAGUUUGUGUUCGUGUUUGCUUAGAGGACAACCUCUGAGGCAAGAGUGCCUCUCUUUGCACUUGCCAACAAUUAAAGGGGCUGUGACUUCACUUUGGUUGGCUAAUGGUCAAUUCUUUUUUUCUAUUAAAGUUCCAUAAGCAUUAGAACAGGGAAAGGAAUAAGCAUCAACAUUACUUUCUUUUUUGAGAAUUCAAUUCGGUCCAUCAAAUUCAAAGGUAAGAUUAUAUCCUAGGAUGUUACCUUUGGUUGUCUUUUGUUGUUUAUAUAUUGUCCUAAUGUUCUGGCAAUAACACCAGAUAUUAGGCAGGAAAAGGGAAAGGUUCAAGAUUCAGAGGUUUGACCAAAAGAGUGAAAUUGAGGUUAAACCAUGAAAAUCACAUAUAAAACAGAUACAAUUAAGAAAUUUAAGACUAGGCAUGAUAAAUUUAAAUUGUCAGAAUUAUUAGAAACUCCAAAUAGUUAAUGCAGUGUCAUAUCACCAGCAACCAAAAUGCACCAGGUACAUAAUGCAGCAAGAUAAACAUUAUGCAAUGUUGCUUCCUGCAUCAAAAUGCAACCUAACCAACUACUCUCCAUUCGACCCCAUAAAUGGAAUGAGAAAAAUGAAUACAUAUGCAAAAGAAUAAUUAAGUUGCGACUUAUAAACAAGCAAUGAGCUAUAGCUAAAUUCAGGCAUCGAUAGCAGGUUACCAACAAUCACAUUGCAAAUAUGUUCACCAAUAUACUACAUCAUCAUCAUCAUCAUCCAAUACAAUCAACUGCAACGGAACCAAAAAUUAAUAGCUAGAGGGAAAAAUAAAGAGAGACAAAAUUGGGAAGAUAUACUACCAGCUAGAAACGGCCCCGCCAGAGAGCAAUUGCCGCAUGUAAUCUUGCAGGAAGAGCAUCGGGCUGAAGGGAACAGGCGGUGGAGGAGCGGUGACGAAGAGAUCGGGGCCAAGGAUACCGGAGAUAGCUUGGGUUAUGGAGGUCGAAGAUGGCGAUGGCGAUGGCGUAGGCGUAGGAAGAAAAUAGGAAGCAGCGAGGAGAAG
rnacentral:lncRNA from 1 species